AACGAACGCUGGCGGCAGGCUUAACACAUGCAAGUCGAACGCAUCCUUCGGGGUGAGUGGCAGACGGGUGAGUAACGCGUGGGAACGUGCCCUUCAGUUCGGGAUAACCCAGGGAAACUUGGGCUACACCCGGAUACGUGCGAGAGCAGAAAGAUUUAUCGCUUUAGGUUCUGCCAUAUUUUUAUUUUAUAUUAUGUGGGGUAAUGGCCCACCAAGGCGACGAUCAGUAGCUGGUCUGAGAGGAUGAUCAGCCACAUUGGGACUGAGACACGGCCCAAACUCCUACGGGAGGCAGCAGUGGGGACUAUUGGACAAUGGGCGCAAGCCUGAUCCAGCCAUGCCGCGUGAGUGAUGACGGCCUUAGGGUUGUAAAGAGAGGGCGUCCGGGACGAUAAUGACGGUACCGGAAGAAGAAGCCCCGGCUAACUUCGUGCCAGCCGCCGCGGUAA
rnacentral:rRNA from 1 species